UACGUAGGGGCAAGCGUUGUCCGGAAUUAUUGGGCGUAAAGAGCGCGUAGGCGGUCCGAUAAGUCGGCUGUGAAAGUCAGGGGCUCAACCCUUGAAAGCCGGCCGAUACUGUCGGACUAGAGUCCGGAAGAGGCAAGUGGAAUUCCCGGUGUAGCGGUGAAAUGCGCAGAUAUCGGGAGGAACACCAAUUGCGAAGGCAGCUUGCUGGGACGGUACUGACGCUGAGGCGCGAAAGCGUGGGGAGCAAACAGG
rnacentral:rRNA from 1 species